UUGUAUUGUCGUGUUUUGCUGUGUUUUAUGCCCUUUAAAACAUUAGCUACCAUAACUUUUAUCUACGUUGAGUUGAGCCCUCUGCUCCUCCGUAUACGAAAGUAAUUGUUUCGCGAAAGGACGCUUUUAUUAUUGUUGCGACAAGGACGCUUACAAAUCGACCCGCUUAGUGUUAUGGACACUUUUUUUGCUCAGGCGCAGAGUCUGUUGUUUGUUUGUUUGUGAAGUGUUUUAUCAUCUUGUGACCAGAAUGCCGAAUGUUCAAUGCAUUAAUUGUAACGUUCGUUUGAGUCGCAUCAGGCGGCACGUUCUGUCAGAUGAGAGUGAUGUUCUGGUGAACACUAUCCGGCUAUGGACAUAUCCUAGAGAGUUGACACCAUCAGACCUUAUUUGCCAUGCUUGCUGGCAACUAGCAACACACGGGUCAACAUCCUCUGACAAUAUACCCAGAAGACAAGUUGGUCAUCAAAAUGUCUGUAUUGUUUGUGGACGGUCUACAGGGUGGAAACGAUAAGUGAUCUCAUUCGAUUAUUUCUAAACUAUACAAGAUAUCGAAAAACUGGUUACUAAUCCUGAGAGUGCUUCACAAGCUCUAUCCAACGGUACCAAUAUUAGGUUACAGAAUUAACUGGAUCUAUCCGAAAAUUUAAUGUUUUCAGUCUCCAUACUAAAUGUAUGCCAGCCAAACAAUAAUAGAAGUAUCAAUUUUUUUUAUUAAAUAAUAAACACUUAAAAUGAACUCGUAAAUUGCAUUCUUAUUUAAAAUGAUUAUUGGAAAACAUUGGUUUUAGGCUUUACUUGCAAUAAUAUUAACAAGACAUGAGUGCCAUGACUGUGGCUGUACUAAAUGUAUGGAAGCUGGAAACAAUGAAUUUUCGAAUGAAUCCAAUUUAUUUUGUAACCUAUUAUUGGUACCGUUGGAUAGCGAGCUCGUGAAGCACUUUCAGGACCAGUAACCAGUUUUUUAAUAUAAAAUAAAAAUAAAAAUAAAAUAAAAUAAAAAAUGUAUUUAAAAAAUAUCUUGUAUAGUUUUUAAUAUUAUGUGGUUUUACUAAAUGUAUGGAAGCUGCAAACAUUGAAUUUUCGGAUUGAUCCAGUUUAUUCUGUAACCUAUUAUUGGUACCGUUUGAAAGAGUUUUCAGUUUUCACUUUCAGAAUCAGUAAUCAGUUUUUCGAUAUCGUGUAUAGUUUAGAAAUAAUCGAGUGAGAUCACUUAACGUUUCCACCCUGUAUAUUAAGGAUUAAUAGACGAAGAGUUUUAGUUGAUGGAGUAAAUGAAGUAGAACAAAGAAUAUCCAAUGUUAUAUCUCAAUGGAUCCAACCACAGCAGCUUACCCAAAAUGAUGAGGCUUGUGUACCAUGUUGGCUUCGAGCAUCAAGAACUAGGGAUGUACCACUGGUGCCACCACAGCCAGAAAACCAGUCUACAAAUCCAACUGUGCAAAGUGAACCUGAUCCAAACGCAACCUGUUCUGUAUGUGGAAAUACUUUGCUUUCUACUAUGAGGCAAACAUCUGCCACAGAAGAACAGAGGAUAAUGGAAAUGAUUUCCCACUUGAUGGAAAACCAGCAGAUGCCACCUUUAAAUGAACUCUGUCGUGCCUGCUGGGGACGUGCACAAGAAAUAGAGUAUCCUCAAAUAAAUGUAAAUGAGAAUGAUGUUGUUCAGCAACCUCAAUUUAUUUCAUUGCCUAAUAUGCGACGAGCAGCUGAAACACCAAGACAUUGCAUUUUUCAAGAAUGCAGUGGGCUAGAGCGACAUACUAUACCAGAAGACACUCGCCGCCGUGUAUUGCUACAUUUUAAUUAUUUUAUACCAAGAGGUGCACGUAUCUGCAGACAACAUUUAGAAAAUGAACAAUAUGAUAGUUUGUACUCGGCAGAAUAUAGCCUGGAUACAUUUAAAGCUGACUACAUAGAAGAAAUUGUAUUUAUAUUAAUGGAAGGCUUAAAUAAUGUGAAUUAUGAAAAUAUUCAAAACUACCCUGAUCAUCAAGUCCUGUAUUUUAUAGGUUUCACAAAGAGGCAACACCAACAGAUUUUGGAUGAAACACCCAAUCUUAAAAAUAUGCAUCGGGGUAGUUUUGCAUUAACCGUACUUCUGUGCAAAUUAAGAACAGGGGACUCUGGGGACAGAUUAUCCUGUCUUUUUCAAGUUCCGCGAAGAACUUUGGAAACGUUGAUGUCUGUGGCUAGAAAUAUUUUAAUACGGGACUAUGUACCCCGACAUAUAGGCUUUGACCACAUGACAAGGGACCAAGUGGCAGCUAAAAAUUCUAUCGUUGCUGAUGGUAUUCUGGGUGACCCUGAUGUCCCACCACAGCAAAAACCAGCCAUUAGCAUUGCAGAUGCAACAUAUUUGUACACUCAAAAGAGUUCUAACUAUUUGUUUCAAAAGGAAACAUAUUCCCUCCAUAAAUAUAGGAAUUUGGUCAAACCAUUUAUUUUGUGCUGUUGUAAUGGGUAUAUCAUUGAUGUUCGCGGACCAUAUAGUGCCACUACAAAUGAUGCGACAAUAAUGCGCGAAUUGUUAAAUAAUCCGGAAUUUAAUAAUUUCUAUGAUGAAAAUGACAUAUUCGUCCUAGAUCGCGGCUUUCGGGAUUGCAUGGAUGCUUUGCACGAUAAAGGAUAUAUAGGCCAUAUGCCAGAAACAAAAGAAGACGGUCAUUCACAGUUGACCACCCUUGAAGCAAACAGGUCACGCUGUGUGACUAUAAACAGAUGGGUGGUUGAAGCUGUGAAUGGCCGUUUUAAAAGAGAUUUUAAAAUAUUCCGUCACGAAUAUUUUAAUCGUGCCUGUACACAUCUAAUGGACAAUUUUAAAAUAGCUGCUGCGCUACUAAACACAUUUUGCACCCAAUUCACCGACUCUCUCAAUGCUGAGGCGUUUGUAAAUAUUAUAAAUGAACGUAUGUUCCUCCAAAACACGAUUGCGGAUUUAGUUUUAGAACUUAACUUAAAUAGACGCAGUGCAAUAUUUAGUCCUAUUGAUGGCACAACCAUGGCAUUCCCAAGGCUAUCUAUGAACGAACUAAUUCUUUUUGCUUGUGGCACCUAUCAGAUCAGACAGGCACGGUCAUACGUAGGUGAGCACUUUAGGUUUCAUGGCAUUUAUACCUUGGAAGUGAGUCGAGACCAUAUACCUGGAUUGGAGGGAACCAAUCCUUUGUUGCUUCGAGCAAAAAUAAAAUCUCGCCAUUCAUCAGGGAAGACAUAUUUUGUUUUUAUUGUGACAGAGAGAAAUAUGAAUGGACGAGAAGCAAUAAUAAGUUAUUGUUGCAACUGCAUUGUGGGGCUUAGAACUGUAGGGUGCUGCUCACAUGUAAUGAGCAUCAUCUGGUACCUAGGGUAUGCUCGCCAUGAAGGUAUAAUGCGACCAGCUCCCUUCCUAGAUGAUGUAAUUUUAAGAAUCUAGU